CUACAGUUGUGAUAAAAGAUAAAAGGUGUCCAAAGGACAAAAAAUAUUUCUCAAAAGUGUAUAUAUAUUUGGAUUAGGACAAGAAGUUAACAGAAAAAGACAGCUAAUGACAAUAAUUGGUGGAAUAAAAGGCAAGGUUGAGACUUUGAGAGGUUUAAGUACCUAGGAUCAUUUGUAUAAAAUAAUGGUAGCUUUGACAAGUAAGUAUUUGAAACAUAAGAUUAAGUGUGGUUGGAUAAAGUGGAGAGAAGUGUUAGGUAAGAACGAUUAAGUUGUGUGGUUUGGAGUGUUGGACGGUAGACAAAAAAAUAGAACAGAAAAUGAAUGUACCAGAGAUGUGAAUUCUUGGAUGGAUGAGUGGAAUGAACAGAGAAGAUAGGAUAAAGAAUGAGUAAUUACAAAAGAAAUAAUUAAGGUGUGGCUUCAAUAGUGGACAAAUGAGAGAAGAGUCGAGAUGGUUUACAUUUCAUUAAGAGGGAGGAAUAAAAAGUAGUAAAAAUUGUAAUGAAAAGAAACAUAGUAGGAAAGAGAAGAGGAAGACCAGAUAAAAAAAGGAGGUGGUUGGAUGCAAUUGUGAAUGAGGAUGGUGGGUGUAUGGGGAGGAUGUUGGGAGAUCGGGUCAGAAGGAAAUUUAGGACGAUGGUGGCUGACACCAACUAGUUAGUAAUGAGAUGAAGGCAGAGGAAAAAUAGUAUACAUAAUUAAUGCGUGUUAU